rnacentral:lncRNA from 1 species
CAUCUCUGCCAGUCUCAGGCUGAGCCGCCAUCAUUGGAGUGGGAAAGAACCAGAAACUAAGGAGGUGUCAUUCACUUAUGAAGUACUUGAAAUGAAGAAAUGAUGAAGAAGGUAGUUUCAGAGAAACCUGAGAAUGAACUGAUGCAGAAUAAAUGACCAGAACCAAGAGCAAAAUACUCUAGGUUCAGUGGCUGGGUCCUGUUGAAGGGUCCCAAGCAUGUGAAGAUUUCCUGGAGAACAAUUUGUUCCAACAGCCAGGAAGGCGGCUGAGG